GAAAUGGCAGGCACCCACAGCUGCAGACCUCAAUCUGGAGACAGAGUUUUACCAUGGGCUGGUCUUGAAUUCCUGGACUCACGCGACCCUCCUGCCUCAGCCUCCCAAAGCACUGGGAUUAGAGGCAUAAGCCACCUUGCCCAGCCAAAAUGUCUUUUAUUUCUACUGUUCUAGAAACAAACUUGCUCAGUUUACAAGCCACU
rnacentral:lncRNA from 1 species